GAGGGGGGAAGAGUUGAACUCCUUCGCGGCCUCCAACUUCAACUCCGAUCGGGAGUCUGUUGGGAGAAGAAUCAAUGAAAGAGUCAAGACUCCGUUGUGAGUCUUCUCUCUGUUUUCUAUUUUUUUUAUUUUUUUAUAUUUUAAAAUUGAUGCAAGAUUUGGGAUAUCAUAUUAAAACUGGGAGAGAGAGAGAGAGAGAGA
rnacentral:lncRNA from 1 species